GUCCGCUCAGUUCCCUGUUUUCUUCUAGUGGAUUCCCACCUCGAGUGCUGUGCCCAGCUCUGGGUCCCUCGGGAGGGACGCUGAGGUGCUGGAGCGGGUCCAGACAAGGGCAACAGAGCUGGUGAGGGGUCUGGAGCACAAGUCCUGUGAGGAGCGGCUGAGGGAGCUGGUGGUGUUCACCUUGGAGAGAAGGAGGCUCAGGACUGACCUUAUCAUUCUGCAGCUCCGUGAAAGGAAGUUAUAGCCAGGCAGAAGGAAAGGACUGGUGGGUACCCCCUCAGUGUGAAAGAGGCUGUAGCUGGGCAGGAAGGACAGACAGACCUGGCAGUGACCUACUACAGGAACCUGCAGUCCUGCCUGGGCAGGACAGUGCCUGUGCUCUGCUCCCUUCCUGCUGCUGCACUCUGGAGAAGCCAAACCUCAGAAGGACAAGAGCAGGACACAUGGCAUGAGCUUUCACAGCUGGAAGGGAAAGCAGGUCCUGGCCAUGCCCUGCUGCUGUGAGAGGCUCACCCAGCUCAGCUGCAGCAGCGCAGGAUGAGAACUGGAGCUUUAGCAGCACUCGGUGCAUUUGGCAGGAGGGUCCUGUACCACCGGGAAACUCCUGUCUGCAUGCAAAAGGUGAGACAAAAUGCAUAAUAACCUUGGCUAUUCAAGUCUCCUGCUCUAAGUGACGCUCGGACAGACUUUUAGGCUGCUCGCUUUUAGUGCUUUCUGACAGAGGAGGGAGCUGUCAGCUCAGCUUUGAGUUGCUCAGCAGGCAGACGUGCCCACCCGGGAGCUGACUAAGCUGUCCGGGCAGCCCACUGAAGGGAGAUGUUAAGCCUGACUUGCAGGAGGUGGAAUGCUAACCUGAAAGUGCUUAAAUCUUUUGCUUUAAGUGCAUCUAUGGGGUGUUUUGUGUCCCUGUACAAUGAAAACCACAGUCACCGGCCUGCAGGGACAGUGGGAGCAGCAGACUUGAGCUGUUUGAAGGUGGAACAUUUGGCAGUGGGGUCUUGCACUUUCCCUGGAAAACUGGAGCCUGUGCAAGACCUUCCUGUUAAUGUCCAGAGCCAGAGCAGCCUCCUCUGUGCCUGGGCGAUGCAAGCAGCCCUUUUAUCUGGGAGACCUGCCAGGCAGCAGAAGCAGGCAAGGAAACAGCAAAGUUAGACUGGUCUGAGGUUGACUCAAGCCAAUAUGAACUGGUCUGAAGUGGAAUAACAACCCGAUCCUAUCAGCCAUUUCUCCUGGUACGACCCGUCAGUAGCCUUCCUGCCUCAGCCGGUGGCAGUGUUACGAGGUAUGGCUUAAUUACAGCCCUGAAAUAAAAAAGAAUUUCUUCAUUA